AAUUUCUGUUCUCAUUUGCUUCAACGUCUAAAGUUUACUUUCCUUAAUUUUAUUUUCCUCAUCCGCUUCAGCUAUGCUUUUAUGUGUGUGUCAUUUUACUUGCUAGUGUUUCUUUCUUCGACUCACUAUUUAGACUUUAUUUAAUUUCCCAAAUUUCUAAAAGGAAGAUUUAAUCAGCAGGCUUGUACCUAUAACCAAUUGAUAUUUGCUAAUAUAAAUCAAACAUGUGUCUUUAUUAAACUGUGACGAUUUCAUGUAGUGGAGAAAAUUGUUUGUUGCUAGCGCAGUAGUAGACAGAUUGAAGUUAUAAAAAAAAGUAGAAGAUUUAUUUGUGGAAUCUCUUUCUUGUACGCGCUUUGGGAGUGUGGUAUUUUAUAGUUGAACACGUUGAAAUAGAUACUAAAUGUUGUUGGUUUCUCCUCAAGUAUGUUUCUUGAGUAAGUGCAUUACUGUUGUAUUUGUAUUUGUUGUGUUUCUCUUUAUCCAUUUCUAGUAAUUUCUUUGCUGAUUCCAAUUUGUUCCCAACUUGUUUACUUUCCCCCCAUUUUGGGAGAGGGCUGGGUCGAUUUAUCUAGUUAUGCGCUGUUUCCUGCUUUGAGUUUGUUUUUUUUGGGAUAUGAAUUGAAAUUCAUCUUUGCCCUUCCGUUGUGAAUCGAAUUUAGUUGGAAUGUGAGGUGAAGUUAAUUUCCCAUUGUUGACGAUACUUGGAGCUUAAUCUUGAGUUAGGAAAAACUGAACUAGGAGUUGACUGAACAUAGCUCUCUAAUUGCUACUGAACUAGGAGUUGACUGAACAUAGCUCUCUUAUAUAUAGUGGAUUGAGGAAUUUGAAUUGAAAAUCUGGAAAAAUAUACGAAAAAAAAUUGCUGAUAAUUUUCGAAGAGUUGAUAAUUGGCUGUUGGAUUACUUGUAAAAUUUGCAGAUUUUGCUGUCGAAGAAUGAUUUAGCGAUUUGUCAAUUGAGCUGAAAUUAAGAGCUAAGAAUUGAUUACUAGCUUCUGUUUGGAUUGUCAUUUACUGUUGAGAAUUGUUCACUAUUUCGAUUUUCGAUAUGUGAAACCUGCAACUUGUUUGAAAAUUUGUGGAACAAGAUAGGGCCAUUAUCCCUUUACUAAAUCCCCGGUCUCUUGCCACCACGAACAAGACCUUUUCCGAUCAAAUAGCUUUUUAUUAUUUAACAAGAAAGAUGAGUAUUAUCUGAAGUGUAAACUUAAGAGCUGCAUCUGCAUUGGGUGUAAGAACUUGUUCAUAUCUUUCUGAAAAUCAGUUGGGGCUGCUUUUGGGUUAAACUAGAAUCAUCAAGCUAGAAGGAACUGAACUGAGCAGAGUAACUUUGGCAUUGCACAAUUUCAACUUUCUUACACAAUUUCUAAUACAUGUGACUAUCCUGCCCAGUUUCUUAACCGUAUUACUGUCUAGCUUGAUCCACUAGCUACCAGAAAUACCACAAAAAUUUGCAACUUCAGCAAACUAUUUCUGUCCAAAAUUUUCAGUUUUAGAUCAAGCUUCGUGAUUCCUGCAAACUAGUGAGUAAAAAUCAACUUGUUUGUUGCUGAAGAUGUACUGAGUUUGGCACUGGAGUUUGGCUAGGGAAUUUAGUCACUAUUUUGAUUUAGGCUAAAGGGCUUCUCUAUCUUUUGAACCAUGUUAAAAUAGAGUUGAAUAUUUUAUUUCAGCAACUGUAGUUUACUUGUUAUGAUCCUUUAUGCAAAUUGGAUUAAGUAUUUAUAUUCCUGAUGCUCGCCUUUCUUAUAAUCUUCCUAUGGAUGAAAUUGAAUUUGAUAAGUAGCUCCUUUUUGUUAGUUGCCUGGAUAGAGGGAAGAAGAUGGUGUAUUGUUACAUGCCUCCUUGGUUCUUUGUAUCUUCCAUUUUUUCUGUAAUUUUUUUUAGGCACAAUGUGUGUCAGAUAAUGUAAGAUUUGGAUAUACAUAUCUUGCACAUUAUCUCAAUUCUGGUAUGUUUAACUUUCACCAAUGAUAUUGUAGGUCAUUUAAUAGGAAUAAAAUAUGUCCCACCAACCAGGGGAUGAUGCUGACUACAUGGCAGAUGACAUGACAUGGAAGCUAUAGAUGAUGAUGUGGAUGAUUAGUUAACGGCAGCGACAUGGUCUGUGCUCCUCCCUGAAAAUAUAUUUGUUCAUUUAGUGUUAAACAUUUUAACUUCAAUAUGUUACUUGUCUACUUGUGGAUUCGAAUAAUAAAAUGCAAGAUAUUUCUGCUGCUGAGGCAAAGACUUUCAAGGGAUUCCCUGGGAAAGGCUUAGUAUAACCAGGGAGUAGUACAGGCAAACGAGAUUACAUUAAUACAAGAACUAUGAAAUACUCCUCAAUUUUGGGGAGCAUCAUCGAAGCCCCUUUUGGAUUGAUGUUUCUACUUUGAAGGUGCAUAUAAUUGCACUUGAUAUAUUUGACACGUUUUGGAUACUUUGAGUUUACAAGUCAAGAUGUAGAUUUUGAAAACUUCAUGCAAGUUGAAGAGUUAGUUAUCAUUUUGCAAGGACUGCUAGGCAAUAUUUUGUUUUUUUGGCUAUGGAUGCUAGCUUUUUCACUAAGAGGUUGUGUAAAUAGUAUGGUCUCUUGAAUGAUAGUCAUACCAUGACCCUACUGAGAUGUUAAUCCAUGCUUUGAAAUUAAUUAUAUGUAUGAAAAAAGGGUUAUUAUUGAAUAUAUUGUUGAAAUCCAAUUGA